rnacentral:tRNA from 1 species
AAUUAUUUAGCUUAAAAAAAGUUUUUAUUUUGAAAAUAAAAGAUUAGGAAUCCUAGAUAAUUA